UUAUCUUCUCUAUGGUUGGCAAUGGUAGUUCCAAUGCGCACGCAGAAACGUCAGCGUCAGUCAUUUCGGCGCAGGUCUCCGCCAUCUUGUCAAAGCACCUUGUUCAGCGUUCCGUGGACACAUGAUGUGGGUAUUUAAUAGUGGAAAAUCUUCUUUCUCUAUGUGGAAAUUCAUCUUUAUCGCUGGUCGGACGCGUGCCAUGCUUCAUCCCUCCGGUGAGUACCUAAUUUAACUGUGUUUGGCGGGUGUUUGAAUUCCAUCGUGGUUUUGUAGGUUACCCAGGAAUCGUGGGAGCUGCAACAGGUGGAAAGCCUCCAACAGAUCGACGUGGGGGCUCAAUGGACCGGUUCACCCCUUUCGACCUGGCCAUACGGAUGUUGGGACUCUCGGAGCCGGCAGGAGACUUGCAGGUGGCCUUGGUAUCUUGGACAGGCACGGAGGGCUAAUUCCCUACUGGUUUUACCUGCUGAUUCUUGGUGACAGAUUGUCCGGAUGCACUAGUGGUAUCACACUGUACGGCAGCCUCUCUAUGACGGUGAUGAGAAUGACAAGGACAGUUUCUAGUCAGUGUACCUAGCAGUUAUUCAGAUCAACAGGUCAUAGACGACAGGUGAAACGACUUUAACAACGGUGAACGGACCGGAAAACUUCGGAGCC